CAAGGAUUCCCCUAGUAACUGCGAGUGAAGCGGGAAAAGCUCAAAUUUAAAAUCUGGCAGUCUUUGGCUGUCCGAGUUGUAAUCUAGAGAAGUAUUAUCCGCGCUGGACCGUGUACAAGUCUCCUGGAAUGGGGCGUCAUAGAGGGUGAGAAUCCCGUCUUUGACACGGACUGCCAGGGCUUUGUGAUGUGCUCUCAAAGAGUCGAGUUGUUUGGGAAUGCAGCUCAAAAUGGGUGGUAAAUUCCAUCUAAAGCUAAAUAUUGGCGAGAGACCGAUAGCGAACAAGUACCGUGAGGGAAAGAUGAAAAGAACUUUGGAAAGAGAGUUAAACAGUACGUGAAAUUGCUGAAAGGGAAACGCUUGAAGUCAGUCGCGUUGGCCAGGGAUCAACCUUGCUUUUUUGCUUGGCUUACUUUCUGGUCGAUGGGUCAGCAUCAAUUUUGACUGGUGGAAAAAGUUCAAGGGAAUGUGGCAUCUUCGGAUGUGUUAUAGCCUUUGUUCGCAUACAUCAGUUGGGAUUGAGGAACUCAGCACGCCGCAAGGCCGGGUUUUUAACCACGUACGUGCUUAGGAUGCUGGCAUAAUGGCUUUAAUCGACCCGUCUUGAAACACGGACCAAGGAGUCUAACAUGCCUGCGAGUGUUUGGGUGAAAAACCCGAGCGCGUAAUGAAAGUGAAAGUUGAGAUCCCUGUCGCGGGGAGCAUUGACGCCCGGAUCUGACCUUUUGUGACGAUUCUGCGGUAGAGCAUGUAUGUUGGGACCCGAAAGAUGGUGAACUAUGCCUGAAUAGGGUGAAGCCAGAGGAAACUCUGGUGGAGGCUCGUAGCGAUUCUGACGUGCAAAUCGAUCGUCAAAUUUGGGUAUAGGGGCGAAAGACUAAUCGAACCAUCUAGUAGCUGGUC
rnacentral:rRNA from 1 species